rnacentral:tRNA from 1 species
AGGGGCUUAGGAUAGUACUCAGACCAAGGGCCUUCAAAGUCCUAAACGGGAGUGAAAAUCUCCCAGCCCCUG